AGUAACGAGCACCGGUGACAAGCCCUGACUGACCGGUCGGCAACCCUCCAGACGCGGCGGGGUGCCUCAGGUGACUACUCGGCAUGUGUCAACUGCAAGCGCGAAGG
rnacentral:ncRNA from 1 species